rnacentral:rRNA from 1 species
AGAUUGAACGCUGGCGGCAGGCCUAACACAUGCAAGUCGAGCGGUAACAGAGAGUAGCUUGCUACUUUGCUGACGAGCGGCGGACGGGUGAGUAAUGCUUGGGAAACUGCCCAGUCGAGGGGGACAACCAUUGGAAACGAUGGCUAAUACCGCAUACGCCCUACGGGGGAAAGAAGGGGACUCUUCGGAGCCUUUCGCGAUUGGAUGUGCCCAAGUGGGAUUAGCUAGCUGGUGAGGUAAAGGCUCACCAAGGCAACGAUCCCUAGCUGGUUUGAGAGGAUGAUCAGCCACACUGGAACUGAGACACGGUCCAGACUCCUACGGGAGGCAGCAGUGGGGAAUAUUGCACAAUGGGCGCAAGCCUGAUGCAGCCAUGCCGCGUGUAUGAAGAAGGCCUUCGGGUUGUAAAGUACUUUCAGCGAGGAGGAAAGGUUAUCGUUUAAUAAACGGUAGCUGUGACGUUACUCGCAGAAGAAGGACCGGCUAACUCCGUGCCAGCAGCCGCGGUAAUACGGAGGGUCCGAGCGUUAAUCGGAAUUACUGGGCGUAAAGCGUACGCAGGCG